rnacentral:misc_RNA from 1 species
GUUCCGUUCAUUUGACUCAUGUUUAUCGUUGGAAGCUUGCUGAAGUCAUGAAAGUAGGACUAUGCCACUGGCUUCUGGCGGUAUAAUCAACUAUGGAAUUACACUCUAAAUGUCUGAUAACGUUAAGGUGCCUGUUAUUUAUUAUUGCAUAUUUUGUUAUCCAAAUAUGAAUGGUUGGAUAUAUUUUGUUGAAUAUAUGUACCUAGCAGCUUGAUUUAAGUGAGUUUUUAGCAUUUGCUAUUCUUUUGCUUGAAGACUGUAUUUUUUUACCUUUCCCCAUUCUUGUCUGUGUUAUUUUAGGUUCUCUUUGAUAUAGAACAAUAACAACGACUAAGUCUCAAACUAGUUGAUGCCUUAUCAAACCCAAAAUCUAGGACAAUGUGUUUAUGGGUCUUUUCUAGUUAUGCGUGCCUUAUGUAGCCUCUAUUUUUUUUGCAUUCACACUUGCUAUCUUAAGACUUUGUUGUGCUAAAUCAUCCAAAUUCAUCCCUAGACUUAACAACUUAUGUGUCAAUUCUUCGUAUUCUAUACUGUAAUCAAGAUAUAAACAAAAAAUUAAAAAAAAAAUUGUAGUAGAUCUGGUGUCAAUUUCAGAUCAUUCUAAAUUGACUUUUAUUUAUUAACACCUUCUCCAAAAAGGCUGGCAACAUUCAUGAGGUGCAUAUCCAAAGUCAAGUCACAAGGCGUGUGUCUAGGAACACCUCCAUAAUAUUUAUUCUGGUGCUGCUUUUCUUUUUUCCCCUUAAAUGUUAUUUUAUCUUGGAAUCUCCAUUCAUUGGUUCAAUUGUUUAACUGAACUUACCUUGAUCUCAUGCACAACAAAAAGAAAAGAAAGAAGCCAAUGUUGCUUUAUAUCAGACAGCUGUUCCUGCAUAAUUGGGGAGAAAGCAUUGCUGUUAGUUUUAUUUUAUUUGGAUUUCAAAAAAAUGUUGCCUUAAUUCUUGUUGUUUUAUAUUAUUAAUAUGAGUAAUAGUCUCAUAGAGGUUACUUUUCUUAGUUUAUUUCUUUUGUGCUGUUCCUCUCUGCAGCCUGCAAACUGAGCUUGCUCAUUGUGCCUAGGCCUCUAGGACUAGGAGCCCUCUGUGCCUUAAUGCACCUUUAAUAACUAUUCUGACUCAGUAUCUCAUGUUGUUUUCAAUUUUAAUAACUAUUCUGACUCAGUAUCUCAUGUUGUUUUCAAU